UACUGUACCACAUAGCUGUACCACAGAGCUGUACCACAUUACUGUACCACAGAGCUGUACCACAUUACUGUACCACAUAGCUGUACCACGGAGCUGUACCACAGAGUAACAUUCUGUCCACCAACUGGUGCCCAGCCCACAUGGGCUUAUAGGACACCAUAUCAAGUAUCAAAACAUUACAUUAAACAAAUGUAAUGCCUUUAACAAUUAAAUGUGUAAUUAGCAAACACAUGUUCAAAUACAUACAGGUACACAUACUGUACAAAUACAUAAAGGUACACAUACUGCUCAAAUACAUACAGGUACACAUACUGCUCAAAUACAUACAGGUACACAUACUGCUCAAAUACAUAAAGGUACACAUACUGCUCAAAUACAUAAAGGUACAUAUACUGUACAAAUACAUACAGGUACACAUACUGUACAAAUACAUAAAGGUACACAUACUGCUCAAAUACAUAAAGGUACACAUACUGUACAAAUACAUAAAGGUACACAUACUGUUCAAAUACAUAAAGGUACACGUACUGCUCAAAUACAUACAGGUACACAUACUGUUCUAUGUAGAUCAUCUAUAUAGCUGCUGUGGGAUCUUGAUUAAAGGCUCAAUACAAUCAAACAGGUCAGGAAACUCUCAGGUGAUUCCAGAUUAGCGGCCAUUUCAAAGGGUGAGCAAUUUCCCCAGUCCCACCCGACCAUCUGCAUACCGCACUGGAACCUUUGAUAUCCCUUGGUUCUUCUAUUCCCUUGGUCCUACCAUCCAACUACAC
ensembl:lncRNA